rnacentral:lncRNA from 1 species
GGGCCUGUGUGUGCCCACUUGGGGUAGUGUGAGCCGUAGUGUGCUGUCUCACCAACUUGUAUCUUGCAGGGUGACAAUGGGCCCCCUGGAAAAGCUGGCCCUCCGGGACCCAAGGGCGAGCCUGGCAAAGCUGGGCCAGAUGGGCCAGACGGGAAGCCCGGGAUUGAUGGUUUAACUGGAGCCAAGGGGGAGCCUGGCCCCAUGGGGAUCCCUGGAGUCAAGGGCCAGCCCGGGCUUCCUGGUCCUCCUGGCCUUCCGGUG